GUUCUAGUGACUCUUGAAUCAUAAAUCCGCUCAUGUGAGACUCAGAAAAUCAAUCAAAUUUACCUGGCGAGAAACCUUGAAUGUACCUAAACAUUUCAGACAUGAUACAGGACGGUGACAUCAUUAAGAUGAGCUCACUCAGGUGUGUCUGAUUAGAAACACACACACACACACAGAGAGUGUUAUGCUGCACGAAUUUUUUAGCACUUUAGCUCCUCAGGUUCUUCCAGUGCGGCGGGAGGAAUGAGGGACGAGCCCGCGAAACAAGAGGAUUUGCUGGAGCUCAGGUGUACUAAAAUCUCUCCAGAUGUUUAUCCAAAGAUUUCCAGAACUCUCUGGACCCUGAUAUUAUGACCCGAGUCAAGAUGUUUCAAAGCUUUUACAUUCAGCGAGGAAAAGACAAAUAUGAUGAAAACAGUGUAAUGAGAAACCUAGAGAGAGUUCAUCUGAAACUAGGCUCAUUUGUGUGUUCAGACUGGUGACGGUACAUUAAAAAUGCAGUUCAUACAGUCAUGUGACUUGAACACAGCUCUUAUAUGAUAAAUGUUUGCCAUUUCAGACAUGAAGAUGCAUCUCCUGAUGAAACUGUGGUUCUCUUUUUAUUCUGUCUGAUUGUGCAUCAAAGAUAAUAGUCUUUGGGAACCUGCUGGUGUUUAUAACGGCUGUAGUUUUAGUUCACAUGGAUUCAGAUCUACCUGCUGCUGGUUUUAUUCUGAGUGAUCAAAUAAAAACCUUUUUUUUUUCCUCAA